rnacentral:rRNA from 1 species
UACGAACUGUGCGAACGUUAUUCGGAAUCACUGGGCUUACAGGGUGCGUAGGCGGCCUUCCAAGUCAGGUGUGAAAUCCCCCAGCUCAACUGGGGAACAGCGCUUGAAACUGGUUGGCUUGAGUCAGCUAGAGGUGCACGGAACUUCCGGUGGAGCGGUGAAAUGUGUUGAUAUCGGAAGGAACACCAGAGGCGAAAGCGGUGCACUGGAGCUGGUCUGACGCUGAGGCACGAAAGCCAGGGGAGCGAACGGG